UAGGGUUUGGUUCCGGAGAGGGAGCCUGAGAAACGGCUACCACAUCUAAGGAAGGCAGCAGGCGCGUAAAUUACCCAAUGCAGACUCUGUGAGGUAGUGACAAUACAUAACAACUCGGGGAAUUCUAUUCUUACGAGAUUGCAAUGAGGACGUUUUAAAUAACCUAGCGAGGAACAAGUGGAGGGCAAGUCUGGUGCCAGCAGCCGCGGUAAUUCCAGCUUCACUAGCGUAUAUUAAAGUUGUUGCAGUUAAAAAGCUCGUAGUUGAACUUCUGUGCGGCGAUCACAUUCUUUACGGCGUGUGAGCGUCGCGCAUCCGCUUGUGAUCUAUUCUCCUCCUUCAUUGGUGGGCUUAGGGAGCAGGCAUUUUACUUUGAAAAAAUUAGAGUGUUCAAAGCAGGCGUUUGCCUGUAUAUAUUAGCAUGGAAUAAUGGAAUAGGACUCUUGUUCAUUUUAUUGGUUAUUGAACUGGAGUAAUGAUUAAUAGGGACAGUUGGGGGCAUUUGUAUUUAAUUGUCAGAGGUGAAAUUCUUGGAUUUAUUAAAGACAAACUUAUGCGAAAGCAUUUGCCAAGGAUGUUUUCAUUAAUCAAGAACAAAAGUUAGGGGAUCAAAGACGAUCAGAUACCGUCCUAGUCUUAACUAUAAACUAUGCCGACUCGGUUUCGGGUGAGUCUCUAAAACUUGCUCGGCGCCGUAAGAGAAAUCAAAGUCUAUGGGUUCCGGGGGGAGUAUAGUCGCAAGGCUGAAACUUAAAGGAAUUGACGGAGAGGCACACCAGUUGUGGAGCCUGCGGCUUAAUUUGACCCAACACGGGGAAACUUACCAGCGUAAAACAUGGGUGGGAUUGACAGAUUGAGAGCUCUUUCUUGAUUCUAUGGGUGGUGGUGCAUGGCCGUUCUUAGUUGGUGGAGUGAUUUGUCUGCUUAAUUGCGUUAACGAACGAGACCUUAACCUGCUUACUAGACGUUCUAUCUCGCAAUGGGACGCUCUUCUUAGAGGGACUAUGCAUUUUAAGUGCAUGGAAGUUUGAGGCAAUAACAGGUCUGUAAUGCCCCUAGACAUGGUGGGCCGCACGCGGGCUACAAUGACACGUUCAGAAAGUUCACCUGACUCGACAGAGUUCGGGUAACCUUACAGUGCGUGUCGUGCUAUGGAUUGAUUUUUGUAAAUAAAAUCAUGCAAUCGGAAUAACUAGUAAGUGCAAGUCAUCAGCUUGUACUGAUUACGUCCCUGCCUCUUGUACACACCGCCCGUCGCUUCUACCAAUUUCGAGUGAUCCGGUGAACCUUUUGGAUUGGGUGCAAACCUGAGAAGUUAAGUAAACCUUAUCACUUAGAGGAAGAAGAAGUCGUAACAAGGUU
rnacentral:rRNA from 1 species